UACGUAGGGGGCAAGCGUUGUCCGGAUUUAUUGGGCGUAAAGAGCGUGUAGGCGGCCUGACAGGUCUGCUGUGAAAACUCGAGGCUCAACCUCGAGAUGUCGGCGGAAACCGUCUGGCUAGAGUCCGGAAGGGGAGAGUGGAAUUCCUGGUGUAGCGGUGAAAUGCGCAGAUAUCAGGAAGAACACCAGCGGCGAAGGCGGCACUCUGGGCUGGAAUUGACGCUGAGGAGCGAAAGUGUGGGUAGCAAACAGG
rnacentral:rRNA from 1 species